rnacentral:rRNA from 1 species
GACGAACCGUGCGAACGUUAUUCGGAAUCACUGGGCUUAAAGCGCGUGUAGGCGGGACGGCACGUCGGUCGCUGAAAGCCCCCGGCUCAACCGGGGAACGGGCGCCGAUACGACCGUCCUGGAGGGACGUAGGGGGACCUGGAACAUCCGGUGGAGCGGUGAAAUGCGUUGAGAUCGGAUGGAACGCCCGUGGCGAAAACGAGGUCCUGGACGUUUUCUGACGCUGAGACGCGAAAGCCAGGGGAGCGAACGGG